UACGGGGGGGGGCAAGCGUUGUUCGGAAUUACUGGGCGUAAAGGGCUCGUAGGCGGCCAACUAAGUCCGACGUGAAAUCCCCAGGCUUAACCUGGGAACUGCGUCGGAUACUGGAUGGCUUGAAUCCGGGAGAGGGAUGCGGAAUUCCAGGUGUAGCGGUGAAAUGCGUAGAUAUCUGGAGGAACACCGGUGGCGAAGGCGGCAUCCUGGACCGGCAUUGACGCUGAUGAGCGAAAGCCAGGGGGAGCAAAACGGG
rnacentral:rRNA from 1 species